UCUAAGAGAAAAAAUAUUGAUGCAGCAUG
rnacentral:piRNA from 1 species